rnacentral:rRNA from 1 species
AUACGUAGGUGACAAGCGUUAUCCGGAUUUACUGGGCGUAAAGCGCACGCAGGCUGACUUAUAAGUCGGUAGUCUAAUGCGGAGGCUCAACUUCCGUUUAUCUAUCGAUACUGUAAGACUAGAGUAUGUGAGAGGGAAGUGGAAUUCCCGGUGUAGCGGUGAAAUGCAUAGAUAUCACGAAGAACUCCGAUCGCGAAGGCAGCCUUCCGGCCCGUCAACGACGCUCAUGCUCGAAGGUGCGGGUAUCAAACAGGAUUAGAUACCCUGGUAGUCCGCACAGUAAACGAUGGACACCCGCGGUUUGGCCUGUAUGGCUGAGCCGCCAAGCGAAAGCGUUAAGUGUCCCACCUGGGGAGUACGCCGGCAACGGUGAAACUCAAAGGAAUUGACGGGG